rnacentral:rRNA from 1 species
GUAGGUGGCAAGCGUUGUCCGGAAUUAUUGGGCGUAAAGCGCGCGCAGGCGGUCCUUUAAGUCUGAUGUGAAAGCCCACGGCUCAACCGUGGAGGGUCAUUGGAAACUGGGGGACUUGAGUACAGAAGAGGAAAGCGGAAUUCCAAGUGUAGCGGUGAAAUGCGUAGAGAUUUGGAGGAACACCAGUGGCGAAGGCGGCUUUCUGGUCUGUAACUGACGCUGAGGCGCGAAAGCGUGGGGAGCAAACAGGGAUUAGAUACCCUGGUAGUCCACGCCGUAAACGAUGAGUGCUAAGUGUUAGGGGGUUUCCCGCCCCUUAGUGCUGCAGCUAACGCAUUAAGCACUCUGCCUGGGGAUACGGCCGCAAGGCUG